AUUUAGGUCUUGCAGUUUUGAAACAAGUGCUGACAUUUGAGCACCCUGAGGAAGAGCUAGAACUUCCAGCAGAUCUAAACUCGACGGAAAAUGGAAAUAUCAUCACACGUUUUUAAUUACUUAUACGUGUAUUCCGAUUACAUGACGAUUCUUUGUGACUAUUGCUAAACAAGACCUAAAGGC